rnacentral:rRNA from 1 species
CCUACGGGAGGCAGCAGUGAGGAAUAUUGGUCAAUGGACGAGAGUCUGAACCAGCCAAGUAGCGUGAAGGAUGACUGCCCUAUGGGUUGUAAACUUCUUUUAUAUGGGAAUAAAAUGUUCCCCGUGUGGGAUUUUGUAUGUACCAUAUGAAUAAGGAUCGGCUAACUCCGUGCCAGCAGCCGCGGUAAUACGGAGGAUCCGAGCGUUAUCCGGAUUUAUUUGGUUUAAAGGGAGCGUAGGUGGAUUGUUAAGUCAGUUGUGAAAGUUUGCGGCUCAACCGUAAAAUUGCAGUUGAAACUGGCAGUCUUGAGUACAGUAGAGGUGGGCGGAAGUCGUGGUGUAGCGGUGAAAUGCUUAGAUAUCACGAAGAACUCCGAUUGCGAAGGCAGCUCACUGGACUGCAACUGACACUGAGGCUCGAAAGUGUGGGUAUCAAACAGGAUUAGAUACCCUUGUAGUC